rnacentral:lncRNA from 1 species
CUUCUAUGUUCUAAGUUUCUGCUUAAGACUUUAAAUCUUUUCUUUAAAAAAAAAGUAAACAUUAUGAUAUAAACUUCAUAAAGCGUAAACUAUCUAAAAUAAAAAGUAUGAUAAGUUGCGCAAGAAUUCAUCACAAGAAACCCAGUUCUAAAAGUAGAAGCUAAUAUGGUCCAGUUGACCACAGCUCUCUCUAAGUGACCUGCUUUCUGCCAGCGUGACUGCCACACAAUUGGACACCGCAGGAUCAGUAGAUGGAACCCAAUGCCUUCAUGCCUCUACCCAAGCACACAGCUCAGUUUACCAAGGACAUAAACCCUACUACAGGGGAAGGAACUUCAUACUGCAUUUCAAUAAGGCAUGAGGAGCAGAGUAGGGAGAAUUGUGGUUUCUUUAAAAACCCAGUUAUGUGAAUAUGUUUUUGUUUUAAUCCCAGGUACGACAUAAAAGGCUGCUUCAUAGCAGGUGACUAUGAUUUGCCUUGUGCUCCAGCAGGGAUGUGGUUUUACCAGCUGCACAUAGUUUCUUCAAGUGGCAGGUAGACAAGAGUGUUAGGAGGCAGAUUAGAGGGACAUACCUCUUUCUGGAUCACUGGGAGCAUACAUUGUCAGAGAGCACUGUUAAACAUGGUUGGAGCACGGCUCAUGUCAACGGCCUUUCCCUUAUACCUGGCAGCCACCAGCAGGGAGCCAUGAGCAAGCGCACCCUAUAUUGACUACCAGCCAAAUUGCCCUCGUGACACCCAGGCUGCUGUGGACACUCUAGAGUCACUUUGGGGUCACUUCUGCAGCUGCAGAAGACCACCACUCCCUCUGCUGAAGACACACUUCAGACAGAGUAGCCUUGGAAACAGCAUUCAAAGCAAGAUGGGCCUCAGAAAAGUCUAAAUGGCCAUUUCACCCUGGCCAGAGGAGGGGCCCUUUCCCUAGUGACCCAGCAAAGGCCUCUGACUGGUGCAAACACAGUCCUUCAUUUGCAUGAGGGAUUGCAUGUGCCAUGGUUGGCACCAACGCCUUGCCACACCCUCUUCUGGCUCUAUAAGCAGGCCAUUCACUCUUGUAGCCGGCCAGGAAACACUCUCUUUUGCAUACCCUGAUGUACAAUUUUAGGCCUAAUAAAAGGUUUGUCUAGGGGGCUGGAGAGAUGGCUCAGCAGUUAAGAGUGCCGACUGCUCUUCUGAAGGUCGUGGGUUCAAAUCCCAGCAACCAAAUGAUGGCUCACAACCAUCUAUAAUGAGAUCUGAUGCCCUUUUUUGGAGUGUCUGAAGACAGCUACGGUGUACUUACAUAUAAUAAAUAAAUAAAUCU